rnacentral:rRNA from 1 species
UACGUAGGAGGCAAGCGUUGUCCGGAAUUACUGGGCGUAAAGCGUGCGCAGGCGGUGAUGUAAGACAGGUGUGAAAUCCCCGGGCUUAACCUGGGAACUGCAUUUGUGACUGCAUCGCUGGAGUGCGGCAGAGGGGGAUGGAAUUCCGCGUGUAGCAGUGAAAUGCGUAGAUAUGCGGAGGAACACCGAUGGCGAAGGCAAUCCCCUGGGCCUGCACUGACGCUCAUGCACGAAAGCGUGGGGAGCAAACAGG